CCAAAGCAGAUGUCACACAACAAAUGGAUCAAGUUGCAAUGGAUAUAGAAGAACAUGAAGUGACCGUGGGUGUUGACAACAUUGGAAAAGAAUAUGAGCUGGAGGGAGUUGAGGUGGGCAAUGACUAUACUUCUAGUCCAAUUCAAGUGCCAGCCAAAGCAAAUGUCACACAACCAAAGGAAGAACAUGAAGUGAACAUUGGCAGCGUUGGAGAAGAAUGUGAGUUGCAGCCAUCCCAGUCACCUCAUAAGAAACAAAA